GAGUGAGGGGGUGACUAGUGGCAGAGUGAGGGAAGGAAGGAGUGACUAGUGACAGAGUGAGGGAGGUGGUGACUGUCACUAGUCAUCACCUCCCUCACUCUGUCACUAGUCACCACCUCCCUCUGUCACUACUCCCUCCCUCCUUCUGUCAUUAGUCACCCCCUCCGUCCCUUACUCUGUCACUAGUCACCCCCUCCCUC